UGGAUGUUCAGCACUUCUGAAAGAUGAGUCUGAAAUGAGCAGAUUGCACGACAUAGGGGUUGUGUCACCCUCGUCCUUUCAAUCUCAUGAGGCAGACGCUCAGAGCUGGGCCAGUGUGCAGAUAUGCAGAGCAUUUCCAGAAAAUGUUGGAAUUUAGACCAGGAUGGGUUUUCAGAUGUCACGGGGAAGUGUCUCUUAUCUUGCCCAUGCACAUCUGCAAUCCCCACAAAGAAAAUUUUACCAGAAAAUAAAAAGAAGUUGAGACUGCAGGUGUGUGCAUUUUAUUAAGCCACUGUGUCCCUUGCAGAAAAUGGUUGAAAUGGCAGGUGAUUGUUUCCAUAUUAAGGAAGCCUUAAGAAUGACUGACAAGAUCCACUUUUGCAGUUUUUAUUUCUGCCAAUCAAAUCACUGAGGACAACAGUGAAUAGUGCAUAUUUAGAAAAUGUAUUUUUAAAGUUGGGCUUUGACUGAACAGUCUCUACUUCAUGAGAAGCUGAAGCUUUCCCUUCCCAGCAAGCUGUGACUUAAAGGCAGCAAGUGAAAGAGGAAAAAAAACCAAAUGUAUAAUGGAGAAACAGAACUAUUAACAACAACAACAAAAAGUGGUCUUGCCAAAUGGGCACCAGCACCCUACACCCUCUUCUCAAGCUUGGGAGCAAACUAGAUUCUCAUAUUUGAGGACACAGAUCAGAAGGAAUAGGCAAGGAAAAAGAGACAGUGUGGUAACCCUGUAUGUUAGGGAGUGUUUUGAUUUUCUGGAGCUUCCUGAUGGUGACAAUAAGGUUGAGUGUUUAUGGAUAAGAAUUUUUGUAAAUGCCAACAAGGCACUGGGUUUUUGAAAGGCAGACUUUGACCUGUCUAGGAGACUGGUUGACAGAGUACCAUGGCAGUCAGUCCUCAAGGGCAAAGGGGUCCAGGAAGGCUGGAUAUUGUUCAAGAAGGAAAUCCUAAAGGUGUGGGGGUAGGCUUGAAAGAUGAGCCAGUGGGAAAGAAGACCAGCUUGGCUGAACAGAGAGUUUUGGCUGGAAUUUGGGGAUGAAAAGAGCAUUUAUGACCUUUAGAAGAAGAGGCAAGCAACUCAGGAGGACUGCAAAGUUGUUGUGAGGUUAUGCAGGGAGAAAAUGAGAAGGACCAAAGCCCAACUAGAACUCAAUCUGGCUACUGCAGUAAAAGAUAAUAAAAAAUGUUUGUACAGAUACAUCAUCAACAACAGGAGGGCUAAGGAGAAUCUGCAUCCUUUAUUAGAUGUGAGGGGAAGUGACAAAGAGUGAGGAGAAGAUUGAGGUGUUUAAUGCCUUCUUUGCCUUAGUCUUUAAUACAGCCAGUGGUUGUUGGGGCACCCAGUGCCCUGAGCUGGAAGACAGGGAUGGGGAACAGAAUGAAGCCCCCAUGAUCAAGGGGAUAUUGGUCAGUGACCUGCAACAUGAUUUAGAUACACACGAGUUUGUAGGACUGGAUGGGAUCCACCCAGGAGUACUGAGGGAGCUGGCAGAAGUGCUCACCAGUCCACUUCCCAUCAUUCACCAGCAGUCCUGGCUAACUGAGGAUGUGCCAGUUACCAAAUGUGAAAUUCAUCUGCAAAUGGAAGGGAUGAGGAUCGAGAGAACUACAGGCCUGCAAAACCACUGAGGAGGACUGGAUCGUCUGCCUUCGCUUGUUAUACUGCAACACAGGAACAGCCUGAUCUGAGAACUGUGGCCAGGUGGGACACACUGAAAAUAUGGAAACAAAAGACAGAAGACAAACACACUCUACAGGCCAAAAAGAAGCAUCACAGAUAUUUCGUGGCUUGCAUGACAUGCUGUCCCUGGAGAGCAGUAACUGAGAAGCAUUAAGGCAAUGGUAGCCCAGUUCAGCCACGUUCCUGAGGGGCAGAGUCCUCACACACAAGUGUCUGUAAGGGGGGUCUCGAGUUGAUUCCUGUUCAAACUCCGUGUGCCACCUGCACAGCCCAGGGCACCUGCGCCCUGCAGAUCCCUGGAGGGAGAAGUCCAGGCACACUGCCAGCUUAGUGUGUGUGUCCCAGACUGUCUGGACCAGCCAGGCUGGCUCUGAACACAUCUCAGCCCACCAGGAGGGGCAGCGAGGCCUGCUCUUCACCUGUAGAGUGUGGAUGGCCCAAAGCACCCAGAAGCUGCACAGUGGAGUUGGAAGAUGGUGGUACGGAAGGAAGGUUGGAGGGGUGGGUCAGAGAACUUGCUGUUCUUUUCACUUCAUGGUGCUUUUGGACUUCAUAGCACUUAAAAACCAUUCCAGGAUUCUUGCUUCAGUUUGGGAGAGUCUCUGAAUCCCGCUGAGAAUCCCUUAUACUGUCAAUUUUGUUGUUUAAUCUGCUCAGGUCCUAAAUGUUUCUGUUCUAAAUUUUCAAGAUGUGUGGUUAUGCAGAAGCAAUAGAGUGAGGGUCUCCUGCUUAUUUGGGCUCAGAUCAUAAUUCCAAUUCUAUAGGAAUUAAAAGUGUAGAACCCUUUGCUUAGAAAAUAGUGGAAAAACAGAAAAUAAGAGCCGUGAGGAAAGGUCUGUGAACUGCUGGGUGUACAGUUCAGGAAGGAAAGCAAGCACAGGGUGUUAUAUGAUUGCUGUGAUGGUCAUCUUUUGUACAAGCUACAAACACUGUGGACCUUAAAGAUAUCUCUCUUGAAUUCUGAAAUCCCUUAACUAGUCUGAGUCAUUUGUACAGCUGAACAGACUCAAGGUCUCUGAAGUAAAUUGGUAAUACCUGUAAUUCUGCAGAAAAUUAGGGAAGAGUUAUAUAGUCCCAAAGCAGAGGAAGAAAUAAAAAGGAGUCAUAAAACCUCUGGUCUCUGGGAAAGCUCUGGGUGAAGAUGACUUUCUAAUAGAAUUUUCUAAACUCAGUCUCACUUGGCUUCUGACAUAUGGCAAAAAUUUUGAAAGGCCAAAGCAAAAGGGUCCCAUUUCAGCAUUAAUUGCAGUGUUGGGUUUUCAUAACUCUCUCUCCUAGGAAAUAACUCACCAAUGCACCAUUCUCAAUAAUUAAAUUACAGGCCAAUUCCUCUGACUAAUGUGACUCAGAAGACACAGGUUAAAACAGCAUCCAGAAAAUGUCUGAGCAGUGUACCUUAUGGACAAGAACUCAGCAUAUAGCUUGAGGUUGACAUUAAUCAGAAAGCUGCUGGAGAGCCUUAUAGGCCUGUUAUUAUAAUUUGCUAUUUUUAAAAUUCUCUGAAGUAAUCAGAAAAUCAACCAGCUCAACAUCCCUAAAGAGAGCUGCUUCCCACCCACCAGCAGUGGCUGACUUCACUGUUGACAUAAAAACCAUGAAGAUCUCAGUCUAGUAUUCUGCCAUGUAAUUGUAUCCUUAAUUUUGGUCUUGUUGAAAGUCUGCUGGAAAACUGAUCUUAUGUGUCCUCAUUAGAAGCAAUUCAUAUGUAAAUCAUUUAAGAUUUUUUUUUAAACUUAAAGAAAGAAAACAUUCCUGUGACUCAAACAUUCUGCAGGCUCUUGCUCCUCUUGUGGCUCCUGUAUGGCUGUGGCUCCUAGGAACUCUGUGCCUCCUGGCAAAUCAGAGUGAUUGUGAGAAGGUUGCUGGCUAGGCUGUCACCUUCUCUUGCCUUGGCAGCUGGAGAAAGCGCCUCCUGUCAAGAGACUUCAUCUUUCUCCAGCCUUGGGCCAAUCAUUGAAGGGAUGUGAGGUGAAGCUCUGCUCUCUUCUACACCUUCUGCCUGACACACAUCCAUGGAAGGUGCUUCACUCCCUUCAGCCAAUAGUGGCCAUAUAAUUACCAGCUUUUCUGCAUAUUGGAAGGCUUAAUUUUUGCUCUUUUAUGUGCAAAAAUAAGUUGAAGUGGUAGUGGUGGAAUGACAUCCUGGUGUUAAAAUGGAAUGACAUUGAAAAUACAUUAAAUAAACAUGUCAGAUGACUUCUCUGGGCCUUUAUUGAUAAAACUGAUGAAGCAGCAUAUGAGGUAACAGCCAAGUUCUUGUCUAAAAGUACAACUUUGAUAAAGUUUGGGCACCUAUUUCUUCUGAGUAUUUCUGGAGCUGGAAAUGGAAGUCAUCGUGAAAGUGUUGACAGCAAUUUGAAGGUGUAAAGGAAUACUGCAUCUUUACCAUGAUUUCUAUGUUUUUGAAUUGGAGGAGAUGAGCCCUUCACACUCUGAACUGUUCCUAAAAUACAAUGUCUGAGGUAUUUGUCUCUAAGAAAGCUGAGGUUUUUUGCUGAAGAAUAAAUUUUGAACUGCUGCUGAAGGUGUUUGGAACUUCUCUCUGGCACCUUGUUAUUAUAGGCACAUAAAAUGUAGACGAGUGGGACUAGGUAACAGAUGAUGAAAUUAAAGUUGAUUAAAAUCUGUUUGUCAAAACUCUGGUUUUUCCCUUGUAGGAGGAAUUCUACACGAAAAGGUAGG